rnacentral:rRNA from 1 species
UACGAAGGGGGCUAGCGUUGCUCGGAAUCACUGGGCGUAAAGCGCACGUAGGCGGCUUUCUAAGUCAGGGGUGAAAUCCUGGAGCUCAACUCCAGAACUGCCUUUGAUACUGGAGAGCUUGAGUCCGGGAGAGGGUGAGUGGAACUCCGAGUGUAGAGGUGAAAUUCGUAGAUAUUCGGAAGAACACCAGUGGCGAAGGGCGGCUAC